GUCGAACGAUGAUCCGGUGCUUGCACCGGGGAUUAGUGGCGAACGGGUGAGUAACACGUGAGUAACCUGCCCUUAACUCUGGGAUAAGCCUGGGAAACUGGGUCUAAUACCGGAUAUGACUCCUCAUCGCAUGGUGGGGGGUGGAAAGCUUUAUUGUGGUUUUGGAUGGACUCGCGGCCUAUCAGCUUGUUGGUGAGGUAAUGGCUCACCAAGGCGACGACGGGUAGCCGGCCUGAGAGGGUGACCGGCCACACUGGGACUGAGACACGGCCCAGACUCCUACGGGAGGCAGCAGUGGGGAAUAUUGCACAAUGGGCGCAAGCCUGAUGCAGCGACGCCGCGUGAGGGAUGACGGCCUUCGGGUUGUAAACCUCUUUCAGUAGGGAAGAAGCGAAAGUGACGGUACCUGCAGAAGAAGCGCCGGCUAACUACGUGCCAGCAGCCGCGGUAAUACGUAGGGCGCAAGCGUUAUCCGGAAUUAUUGGGCGUAAAGAGCUCGUAGGCGGUUUGUCGCGUCUGCCGUGAAAGUCCGGGGCUCAACUCCGGAUCUGCGGUGGGUACGGGCAGACUAGAGUGAUGUAGGGGAGACUGGAAUUCCUGGUGUAGCGGUGAAAUGCGCAGAUAUCAGGAGGAACACCGAUGGCGAAGGCAGGUCUCUGGGCAUUAACUGACGCUGAGGAGCGAAAGCAUGGGGAGCGAACAGGAUUAGAUACCCUGGUAGUCCAUGCCGUAAACGUUGGGCACUAGGUGUGGGGGACAUUCCACGUUUUCCGCGCCGUAGCUAACGCAUUAAGUGCCCCGCCUGGGGAGUACGGCCGCAAGGCUAAAACUCAAAGGAAUUGACGGGGGCCCGCACAAGCGGCGGAGCAUGCGGAUUAAUUCGAUGCAACGCGAAGAACCUUACCAAGGCUUGACAUGGGCCGGACCGGGCUGGAAACAGUCCUUCUCCUUUGGGGCCGGUUCACAGGUGGUGCAUGGUUGUCGUCA
rnacentral:rRNA from 1 species